rnacentral:tRNA from 1 species
UAGCUCAGUGGUAGAGCGACAGACUCUUAAUCUGUUGGUCGUGGGUUCGAGUCCCAC